rnacentral:lncRNA from 1 species
UCCCACUAGCCUUCCGCGUCCUGCCGCAGCCCUGCACGAAAGGGGUGUCCUGCCGCUGCAAUGAUGAAAGGGCAUCGGUCAGGCCCGACCCCCACCCACAGCACUUCUGAGGAGGGAGUUUUGCAGCCUCGGUCCACUUCCCAGUGAUGAGGGGCAGUUGCGGAGCUGGGCUGGACCCUCCGUCGGAAGAUCAGGGAGAUCUGCUGCCCUGAGCCUGCAGGGGGCACUGUGGUGCCUGGCACGCCCACCCUUGCAGGUGGAGUUGGGGAUACUGGAGGUGAACUGCCAAGAGGCCUGGCCCCAGGUGUGCUUGAAGGGCCACCUCCACCAUCAGGACCUGACACAGUUCAAAACCAGUGACAGUUAUUCAAGCCUGUCUCUUUGAGAGGAGGCCCAGGUCUCCAGAUGGGUGUUUGGGAGUACCCCUCACCCUGGGUUGACCACAUCAAGACACUAGCUUCACCUCCACCCUGGGGGUAGAAGCCCUGGCAUCCAUGGGGAGGGAGAGAGAUAAAGACACAUGCUCAUCUGAGUCCU